rnacentral:lncRNA from 1 species
AGUAGGUGUAUGUUUGGAGCAGAGAGAUGAUAACCCGACUCAAGCAUGGGAGACAACACAAAUAAGGACACAGAGAAAGAAGAGGUCAUAUGAUGUCAGUUCUGAGUUAGAAUUGAAGGCUGAAGAAGAAUCUGCUGACUGGACCUGUGAUCCUGUUCCUGUCGUCUCUGUUCUUAACUCUCUUCCUUUGGAUUGACACAUGGUUAACAAAGUUGGGGCAACCUAGUAUGCUGAAUGGUGGUAAUAGCAAUUUC